GCUGGGCAUGGUGGUGUGUACCUGUAGUUUCAGUUAUUUGGGAGGCUAAGGUUGGAGGACUACUUGGACCCAGGAGUUUAAGGCCAGCCUGGGCAACACAGUGAGAUCCCAUUUUUU
rnacentral:sRNA from 1 species